ensembl:lncRNA
UGGGAAUCAACUAGAGAAAUGUUUCCUGUUAGUUUGUGAAAAAAUCCUGUAAUCAAUUACAUAACUGGAAUUGUCAAUUCAUUUUUUCAAUUUAGGUGAGGUGUACACAUCUGUUUGAGGAGGAAACCCCAUACAAUAUUUGCCACAGAUGUUAAGUGCUUUUCACAGCUUUAAAAUAUAGCAGCUGCAAGAAAGCCAAUACAGUUAGUGUUUCACAUGAAACAUUUGAAGGCCCAAUGACCAUUUUCUGAAUUCAAUACAAAAAGAUUACAAGGCUCAAUAAAGGAGGCACUGAUGUUCGACUGACAUGACUCAGUUGAAGUAGCCACAAAAUUGAGUGAAGUACAUUUUUUUAUAUUUUACAUAAAACAUUUACCAAGCCAAUUUAAAAACUUUAUUGUACUUUCCAAGUUGUCAUGUCCGUAAUAAUCAUUUGCAGUCAAUUGGAUAAAUAGAAUGAAAUAAUUUGCUUCAGUGAAACAAUGACCCACUCAAGCUGCUCCAUGUUAGUGUUAAAGGUUAAGAAAAUAAACCCAUGAGAUUUAAGUUUUAACAUCCCAAAGGCUGCAAAGACCUUGGCCCAAAGGAGCCCUUUCAUCUUGUAAAUAAGUUGAUUCAACUACAAAUUUGUGCAUAUUGCAUUUUAUUUCUCUAACCAGCUACCAGUUGAAGUCAAUGAGGCCCAUCAGCUAUGGUAAGUAGCAGUUAACAUGAUGACCAGGAAAACCCAAGCAGUUAUCCCUUCACACAGACUCCUUAGUUGGAGCAAGAUCGUCCUUUAUUUCGAAUAUUUUGAUUGCUCCCACUUGUAGCGAACUGGGGCUGAGGCUUAGAUGGGUAGUCUGUGGACUGGUGCGGAGGCUGAGACUUGUACUGGUAGCCCUCGGGCUGCAGAACCUGGUGCGGAGGCUUAGAAGGGUGGGCCGGGCCCGGGAGCUGAUGGUGAGGCUUAGAAGGGUGGGCCGGGCCCGGGAGCUGAUGGUGAGGCUUAGAAGGGUGGGCCGCGACGGGGGGCAGAGGCUUCGACGGGUAACCCUGGACCUGGGGUUGGGGCAGAGGCUUCGACGGGUAACCCUGGACCUGGGGUUGGGGCAGAGGCUUCGACGGGUAACCCUGGACCUGGGGUUGGGGCUUCGACGGGUAACCCUGGACCUGGGGUUGGGGCAGAGGCUUUGACGGGUAACCCUGGACCUGGGGUUGGGGCAGAGGCUUCGACGGGUA